rnacentral:rRNA from 1 species
GAAACGGUGGCUAAUACCGGGUGUGCCGAAAGGUGAAAGGUUAACUGCCUGGAGAUGAGCUCGCGUCUGAUUAGCUAGUUGGUAGGGUAAAAGCUUACCAAGGCGACGAUCAGUAGCUGGUCUGAGAGGACGAUCAGCCACACUGGGACUGAGACACGGCCCAGACUCCUACGGGAGGCAGCAGUGGGGAAUUUUCCGCAAUGGGCGAAAGCCUGACGGAGCAAUACCGCGUGAGGGAGGAAGGCUCUUGGGUUGUAAACCUCUUUUCUCAGGGAAGAAAAAUGACGGUACUUGAGGAAUAAGCAUCGGCUAACUCCGUGCCAGCAGCCGCGGUAAUACGGAGGAUGCAAGCGUUAUCCGGAAUGAUUGGGCGUAAAGCGUUCGCAGGUGGCAUUGAAAGUCUGCUGUCAAAGAGUCUGGCUCAACCAGAUACAGGCAGUGGAAACUUCAAAGCUAGAGUGCGGUAGGGGCAGAGGGAAUUCCUGGUGUAGCGGUGAAAUGCGUAGAGUUCAGGAAGAACACCGGUGGCGAAAGCGCUCUGCUAGACCGCAACUGACACUGAGGGACGAAAGC